rnacentral:rRNA from 1 species
CCUACGGGAGGCAGCAGUAGGGAAUCUUCCGCAAUGGACGGAAGUCUGACGGAGCAACGCCGCGUGAGUGAUGAAGGCUUUCGGGUCGUAAAACUCUGUUGUUAGGGAAGAACAAGUACGAGAGUAACUGCUCGUACCUUGACGGUACCUAACCAGAAAGCCACGGCUAACUACGUGCCAGCAGCCGCGGUAAUA